rnacentral:rRNA from 1 species
AGCGGUGGAACAUGUGGUUUAAUUCGAUGCAACGCGAAGAACCUUACCUGGGCUUGACAUCUAGAGAAUCCUGUGGAAACACGGGAGUGCCUUCGGGAACUCUAAGACAGGUGGUGCACGGUUGUCGUCAGCUCGUGUCGUGAGAUGUUGGGUUAAGUCCCGCAACGAGCGCAACCCUUGUUGUCUGUUGCUACAGGCUGUAAAGUGCUGAGCACUCAGGCGAGACUGCCGGUGACAAACCGGAGGAAGGUGGGGAUGACGUCAAAUCAUCAUGCCCCUUAUGUCCAGGGCUACACACGUGUUACAAUGGGAUGGACAACGGGCAGCCAGCCAGCGAUGGUGAGCUAAUCCCUUAAACCAUUCCUUAGUUCGGAUUGGAGUCUGCAACUCGACUCCAUGAAGUCGGAAUCGCUAGUAAACGCGGAUCAGCAUGCCGCGUUGAAUACGUUCCCGGGCCUUGUACACACCGCCCGUCACACCACGAAAGAGGAUCACGCC